rnacentral:rRNA from 1 species
AUGUUUUUGUUGCACCGGUUAGUUGUUAAAGUGCAUGUAUUUCAGCCCAUCAUCAGGUUUCCACUAUUGUACAUUUCUCUUGCUACUUUGUUGUCUAAAUUAUAUUUUAGGAAACUAUUUGAACUCUUCAGCAGGCCAUUUGCUCUAUGUUGUUUCUCUUUAGGAAUUAGGAAUUUCUUCACGAUGCCACUUCCCACCUCGAAAGGCGUCGAUGUCGGCGAUCCAGUUUAUGUUCUGCAUGCAUCACUUCUUCAAAUGAAACCCCAACCUGAGCAAGGUCAUGGUAGAUUAGAUGAUAAUGUAUCUGUCUUAUGUGCGUGUGUGUCAGAACAAGUGAUCUAUUAG